GAGUUUGAUCGUGGCUCAGGACGAACGCUGGCGGCGUGCUUAACACAUGCAAGUCGAACGGUGACGAGCAGCUUGCUGCUCUGAUCAGUGGCGAACGGGUGAGUAACACGUGAGCAACCUACCCUUGACACCGGGAUAACAGCUGGAAACAGCCGCUAAUACCGGGUAUGACCUCGACCGACCUCGGUCGAGGUGGAAAGCUCCGGCGGUCAGGGAUGGGCUCGCGGCCUAUCAGCUAGUUGGUGAGGUAACGGCUCACCAAGGCUUCGACGGGUAGCCGGCCUGAGAGGGCGACCGGCCACACUGGGACUGAGAUACGGCCCAGACUCCUACGGGAGGCAGCAGUGGGGGAAUAUUGCACAAUGGGCGCAAGCCUGAUGCAGCAACGCCGCGUGC
rnacentral:rRNA from 1 species